rnacentral:rRNA from 1 species
UACAGAGGUGGCAAGCGUUGUUCGGAAUUACUGGGCGUAAAGGGCGCGUAGGCGGUUCGUUAAGUCCUGUGUGAAAUCCCCCCGGCUCAACUGGGGAACUGCACAGGAAACUAGCGGGCUUGAGUUCGGGAGAGGGAAGCGGAAUUCCGGGUGUAGCGGUGAAAUUCGUAGAUAUCAGGAGGAACACCAGUGGCGAAGGCGGCAUCCUGGACCGGCAUUGACGCUGAGGAGCGAAAGCCAGGGGAGCAAACGGG